UAGGGAAUCUUCCACAAUGGGCGAAAGCCUGAUGGAGCAACGCCGCGUGUGUGAAGAAGGGUUUCGGCUCGUAAAACUCUGUUGUUAAAGAAGAACAUAUCUGAGAGUAACUGUUCAGGUAUUGACGGUAUUUAACCAGAAAGCCACGGCUAACUACGUGCUAG
rnacentral:rRNA from 1 species